UGCAUAUGAUGAUAUUUUUUUUUUCUCACGAUGGUCUUCCGAGUCUUUGAGGCUCUGACGAUGUUGCCGAAUGGCAUUACUGAUGCAGCUCU